rnacentral:rRNA from 1 species
AGAAUCAACGCUGGCGGCGUGCCUAACACAUGCAAGUCGAACGAGAAAGUGGGAGCAAUCCCAUGAGUAAAGUGGCGCACGGGUGAGUAACACGUGACUAACCUACCCUUGAGUGGGGGAUAACCUAGGGAAACCUGGGCUAAUACCGCAUAAUACCUACGGGUCAAAGGAGCAAUUCGCUUUAGGAGGGGGUCGCGGCAGAUUAGUUAGUUGGCGGGGUAAUGGCCCACCAAGACAGUGAUCUGUAUCCGGCCUGAGAGGGCGCACGGACACACUGGAACUGAAACACGGUCCAGACUCCUACGGGAGGCAGCAGUGGGAAUUUGCGCAAUGGGGGAAACCCUGACGCAGCAACGCCGCGUGGAGGAUGAAGCCCCUUGGGGCGUAAACUCCUUUCGAUCGGGAAGAUAAUGACGGUACCGGAAGAAGAAGCCCCGGCUAACUUCGCGCCAGCAGCCGC